rnacentral:rRNA from 2 species
AUACGGGACUCAUCCGAGGCCCCGUAAUCGGAAUGAAUACACUUUAAAUCCUUUAAUGAGGAUCCAUUGGAGGGCAAGUCUGGUGCCAGCAGCCGCGGUAAUUCCAGCUCCAAUAGCGUAUAUUAAAGUUGUUGCGGUUAAAAAGCUCGUAGUUGAAUCUGUGUUUCAUACUGUUGGUUCAUCGCUCGCGGUGUUAACUGACAUGUUAUGGAACGUCCUACCGGUGGAUUUAGCUAAGGUUAAACUUGGCGGUCCAAUUUAAUCCUAUCGCGGUGCUCUUAAUUGAGUGUCGAGGUAGGCCGGUACGUUUACUUUGAACAAAUUAGAGUGCUUAAAGCAGGCUUAUUUCGCCUGAAUACUGUGUGCAUGGAAUAAUAGAAUAGGACCUCGGUUCUAUUUUGUUGGUUUUCGGAAUACCGAGGUAAUGAUUAAUAGGGACAGAUGGGGGCAUUCGUAUUGCGACGUUAGAGGUGAAAUUCUUGGAUCGUCGCAAGACGAACAGAAGCGAAAGCAUUUGCCAAAAAUGUUUUCAUUAAUCAAGAACGAAAGUUAGAGGUUCGAAGGCGAUCAGAUACCGCCCUAGUUCUAACCAUAAACGAUGCCAGCUAGCGAUCCGCCGAUGUUCCUCCGAUGACUCGGCGGGCAGCUUCCGGGAAACCAAAGCUUUUGGGUUCCGGGGGAAGUAUGGUUGCAAAGCUGAAACUUAAAGGAAU